rnacentral:rRNA from 2 species
UACAGAGGUCUCGAGCGUUAGGCGGAAUCACUGGGCUUAAAGCGUGUGUAGGUGGAUGCCUAAGUACCUUGUGAAAUCCCACGGCUUAACCGUGGAACUGCUUGGUAUACUGGGUGUCUUGAGUCACUCAGGGGCGAGCGGAACAAAUGGUGGAGCGGUGAAAUGCGUAGAUAUCAUUUGGAACGCCAAUGGUGAAAACAGCUCGCUGGGGGUGCACUGACACUGAGACACGAAAGCCAGGGGAGCGAACGGG